rnacentral:rRNA from 1 species
UACGUAGGGGGCUAGCGUUGUCCGGAUUUAUUGGGCGUAAAGAGCGUGUAGGCGGCCAGGUAGGUCCGUUGUGAAAACUCGAGGCUCAACCUCGAGACGUCGGCGGAAACCCUCUGGCUAGAGUCCGGAAGAGGAGAGUGGAAUUCCUGGUGUAGCGGUGAAAUGCGCAGAUAUCAGGAAGAACACCCGUGGCGAAGGCGGCUCUCUGGGACGGUACUGACGCUGAGACGCGAAAGCGUGGGGAUCAAACAGG